rnacentral:rRNA from 1 species
UACGGGGGGUGCGAGCGUUGUCCGGAAUCACUGGGCGUAAAGGGCGCGUAGGUGGUUUGAUAAGGGUGUGGUGAAAGUCCGGGGCUCAACCCCGGAUCUGCCGUGCCGACUGUCAAACUCGAGGGCUGUAGAGGCAGGCGGAAUUCCGGGUGUAGCGGUGGAAUGCGUAGAGAUCCGGAGGAAGACCGGUGGCGAAGGCGGUUCUCUGGGCCUUACCUGACGCUGAGGAGCGAAAGCGUGGGGAGCGAACAGG